UACGUAGGGAGCGAGCGUUGUCCGGAAUUACUGGGCGUAAAGGGUGCGUAGGCGGUAGGCCAAGUCAGAUGUGAAAUCCCCGGGCUUAACUCGGGUGGUGCAUUUGAAACUGGUUUACUUGAGUGCAGGAGAGGAAAGCGGAAUUCCUAGUGUAGCGGUGAAAUGUGUAGAUAUUAGGAGGAACACCAGUGGCGAAGGCGGCUUUCUGGACUGUAACUGACGCUGAGGCACGAAAGCGUGGGGAGCAAACAGGAUUAGAUACCCUGGUAGUCCCUGA
rnacentral:rRNA from 1 species